GCCGGUGGCAAUAGCGGCGGGGCCACACCUGUUCCCAUCCCGAACACAGCAGUUAAGCCCGUCUGCGCCAAAGAUACUUGGCGGGCGACCGCCCGGAAAACCAGGACGUCGCCGGCU
rnacentral:rRNA from 1 species